GACGAACGCUGACGGCGUGCUUAACACAUGCAAGUCGAACGGUGAAGCGCCUUCCUUUUUGGUGGGUGUGGAUGAGUGGCGAACGGGUGAGUAACACGUGAGUAACCUGCCCCCUUCUUCUGGAUAACCGCAUGAAAGUGUGGCUAAUACGGGAUAUUCUGGGUCUGUCGCAUGAUGGGUCUGGGAAAGAUAUUGUUUCGGUGGGGGAUGGGCUCGCGGCCUACCAGCUUGUUGGUGGGGUGAUGGCCUACCAAGGCGGUGACGGGUAGCCGGCCUGAGAGGGUGGACGGUCACACUGGGACUGAGACACGGCCCAGACUCCUACGGGAGGCAGCAGUGGGGAAUAUUGCACAAUGGGCGCAAGCCUGAUGCAGCGACGCCGCGUGAGGGAUGGAGGCCUUCGGGUUGUGAACCUCUUUCGCCAGUGAAGCAGGCCUGCCUCGUUUGUGGGUGGGUUGACGGUAGCUGGAUAAGAAGCGCCGGCUAACUACGUG
rnacentral:rRNA from 1 species